GAUGAACGCUGGCGGCGUGCCUAACACAUGCAAGUCGAGCGAACAGACGACUGGUUUCCUCCUCAGACGUUAGCGGCGCACGGGUGAGUAACACGUGUAUAAUCUCCUUCUCAUACUGGGAUAACUUCGGGACAGCGGCGCUAAUACCGUAUAACAUUUUGUACCGCAUGGUUCUGUAGUGAAUGACGGUUUUGCUGUCACUUAUAGAUUGAUCCGCGCCGCAUUAGCUAGUUGGUAAGGUAACGGCUUACCAAGGCAACGGUGCAUAGCCGACGUGGGAGGGUGAUCGGCCACACUGGAACGGAGACACGGUCCAGACUCCUGCGGGAGGCAGCAGUAGGGAAUCGUCCGCAGUGGGCGAAAGCCUGACGGAGCAGCGCCGAGUGAGUGAUGAAGGUCUCGGGUGCGUAAAGCUCUGUUAUGAGGGAAGAACAAAUGUGUAAGUGACUAUGCACGUCUUGACGGUACCUAGUCAGAAAGCCACGGCUAACUACGUG
rnacentral:rRNA from 1 species